rnacentral:lncRNA from 1 species
AUGAUUGCAUCUUAUGGUAAUUACACAUCAUUUCAAUUGCAGGGGCUUACAAAGUAUUUCACAAGCUAUGGAAACCUAGUUCUUUCAGUGAAUUGGACCAACAGUACGUCAAUUAUGUAUUCAGUGUGGUGUUGUUGGCCUCCGCAUCCCAUCCAGCAGGUAAAGUGGUUUGAGUUGCUCCUUUUUAGAUUUCUGUAGUGCCUUUCCUUUUCAUGAAAGGUUUUAGAGGCCAAACUCCGUAGAAGUUAGCUGUGGAAUUCAAUUGCAGUAUGACUGAUAAUGUGGUAUCUUGCAGGAAGAAGCAAGAAGGUACCUGACACUGUGUAAUUUGUGUUUGAUACUUGGUAAUAUCUUUCUUAACUGCCCUUGGCAAAGAAGCAGCAUAGGGCAGCCAACAAACAACAGCUUUUGAGGUGGUACAUGGCAAAGAACAAAGGUUCCCUUCCUGAACAUCUCCUCUUGAGAGCAGUGCUCCAGUGCUCCUGAUAGAUCUGAGCUUCCUUCUCUGCAUUUCCCUCAGUGCUAUGCAAAGAUUUUGGUUUGUUGUUUUCAUGAGAUGUAGCCCAUCCCUUAACCCUGUGGCAGGAUUUGAAGUAGCAAAAGAUCAAAGGCUAAAAUUGAAGAAACUGAAUAUUUGAUGGUGGAAAAUACUGCUCUCG